rnacentral:lncRNA from 1 species
GGAGAAAAAAAGCAGUUUCUUAUAUUUGGCUUAAAUUCUGGCUUUAAACUAGCUGAGUGAUUUAGAGCAUAUAACUUUGAAUUUCCUAGUUUCUUUAUCUGUAAAACAUAGUUCAUAUUGCAUUUGAUUGUUGCAUGGGUUAAAGGAGCUACAUGAGAAAGCUUGGAAUAUAGUCCUUAUGAUAUGUUCCUGGAGCUUCCCAGGUGGCACUUGAGGUAAAGAACUUUCUUGCCAAUGCAAUAGACAUAAAAGUUUCAGGGUUGAUCCCUGGGUGGGGAAAAUCCCCUGGAGAAGAGAACAGCUACUCACUCCACUAUUCUUGUGUGGAGAAUCCCAUGGACAGAGGAGCCUGGUGGGCUAUGGUCCACAGGGUCACAAAAGAGUUGGACACAACUGAAGUGACUUAGCACGGACACAUGCAGGAUAUGUUCCUACUCCUGCUACCAUUUUAGGUGAGGUCAAGUUGCAAAAAUUGCCCUCAUUCCAGGUUACUUUAGAAGGCCUUGGAAGAGAAAUUUCUCCAUUCCUCAGUUCUUGAGUUUUCCUCCCAGGCAGAUAUACCAACCAGUAGGUUAGGCAGAACUUCAUGGACUACAACCUUAUGGUUUAUUGCAGACCUUGGUGUGACCAGAAUCAGUAGGCAAAGCAAGUGCCGUGCUGCCCGUUGGAGCUCAGGUACCAAAGGACAGAGAAUACAGUGGGAGAACAAAGAAGUAUGUUGGACAGUGAGUUCUGUCAAUGGAUUACUGAAAGCAAUUUUGCAACAUAGGGAUCAAAGACUGCAAAUUGUUUCUGCUUUAUUAAUAUUUGGUGAAUUAAACACUGAGGGAAAUGAAUUGGAGAAUAUUAAAAAAGCCAUGAAUCUAAAUUUUGUAUUCUAAUUAGGUGGAAUUUAUCCUUUUGGCAAAGAAUACGACUUAUCUGCUGUUUGGACUGACU